UACGGGAGGCAGCAGUGGGGAAUAUUGCACAAUGGGCGAAAGCCUGAUGCAGUUAUGCCGCGUGUAUGAAGAAGGCCUUAGGGUUGUAAAGUACUUUCAUCGGGGAGGAAAAAACAAAACUAAUAAUUUUAUUUCUUGACGUUACCCGAAAAAGAAGCACCGGCUAACUCCGUGCCAGCAGCCGCGGUAAUACGGAGGGUGCUAGCGUUAAUCAGAAUUACUGGGCGUAAAGAGCACGUAGGUGGUUUUUUUAAGUCAGAUGUGAAAUCCCUGGGCUUAACCUAGGAACUGCAUUUUGAAACUGAAAUACUAGAGUAUCGUAGAGGGAGGUAGAAUUCUAGGUGUAGCGGUGAAAUGCGUAGAUAUCUGGAGGAAUACCUGUGGCGAAAGCGGCCUCCUAAACGAAUACUGACACUGAGGGUGCGAAAGCGUGGGGAGCAAACAGGGAUUAGAUACC
rnacentral:rRNA from 1 species